ACGAACGCUGGCGGCGUGCUUAACACAUGCAAGUCGAACGGAAAGGCCCUGCUUUUGUGGGGUGCUCGAGUGGCGAACGGGUGAGUAACACGUGAGUAACCUGCCCUUGACUUUGGGAUAACUUCAGGAAACUGGGGCUAAUACCGGAUAGGAGCUCCUGCUGCAUGGUGGGGGUUGGAAAGUUUCGGCGGUUGGGGAUGGACUCGCGGCUUAUCAGCUUGUUGGUGGGGUAGUGGCUUACCAAGGCUUUGACGGGUAGCCGGCCUGAGAGGGUGACCGGCCACAUUGGGACUGAGAUACGGCCCAGACUCUUACGGGAGGCAGCAGUGGGGAAUAUUGCACAAUGGGCGGAAGCCUGAUGCAGCAACGCCGCGUGCGGGAUGACGGCCUUCGGGUUGUAAACCGCUUUCGCCUGUGACGAAGCGUGAGUGACGGUAAUGGGUAAAGAAGCACCGGCUAACUACGUG
rnacentral:rRNA from 1 species